rnacentral:rRNA from 1 species
GACGAACGCUGGCGGCGUGCUUAACACAUGCAAGUCGAACGGAAAGGCCCCUUCGGGGGUACUCGAGUGGCGAACGGGUGAGUAACACGUGCGUAACCUGCACUUGCCUUCGGGAUAACUUUAGGAACCUGGGGCUAAUACCGGAUAGGAAUCCUUGCUGCAUGGUGGGGGUUGGAAAGUUUCGGCGGUUUUGGCUGGACUCGCGGCUUAUCAGCUUGUUGGUGGGGUUGUGGCUUACCAAGGCCUUGACGGGUAGCCGGCCUGAGGGGGCGACCGGCCACAUUGGGACUGAGAUACGGCCCAGACUCCGACGGGAGGCAGCAGGGGGGAAUAUUGCACGAUGGGCGGAAGCCGGAUGCAGCAACGCCGCGGGCGGGAUGACGGCCUUCGGGUUGUAAACCGCUUUCAGCAGGGGCGAAGCUUGUGGUGACGGUACCUGCAGAAGAAGCACCGGCUAACUACGUG